AUUGAACGCUGGCGGCAGGCCUAACACAUGCAAGUCGAACGGUAACAGGAAGAAGCUUGCUUCUUUGCUGACGAGUGGCGGACGGGUGAGUAAUGUCUGGGAAACUGCCUGAUGGAGGGGGAUAACUACUGGAAACGGUAGCUAAUACCGCAUAACGUCGCAAGACCAAAGAGGGGGACCUUCGGGCCUCUUGCCAUCGGAUGUGCCCAGAUGGGAUUAGCUAGUAGGUGGGGUAACGGCUCACCUAGGCGACGAUCCCUAGCUGGUCUGAGAGGAUGACCAGCCGCACUGGAACUGAGACACGGUCCAGACUCCUACGGGAGGCAGCAGUGGGGAAUAUUGCACAAUGGGCGCAAGCCUGAUGCAGCCAUGCCGCGUGUAUGAAGAAGGCCUUCGGGUUGUAAAGUACUUUCAGCGGGGAGGAAGGGAGUAAAGUUAAUACCUUUGCUCAUUGACGUUACCCGCAGAAGAAGCACCGGCUAACUCCGUG
rnacentral:rRNA from 1 species